UGCUGGGAAUGGCUGCAGCUCCACGUCAGAGAGCUGCUGGCAAGGCUGGAAGAGGACUGAGUAGCUGAGAGAUCCCAGAGUUCGUCCUGGGGGCUGUGGACUCCUGCACCAGCAGCGGGCUGCCUGCUCUCCUCCAUUCAGUGCCUCUCAAAGGACAGCUGGCUUCCAAGAGGAGGAGGACUGAUGUGCCCCUGAAACCCACAGCACACCUGGCAGACCACCCAGGACAGGCAGAGACCUUGCAAACAACAAGCAGGUACCAGCGGGAGAUGCUGUUGGACUCCCGAGAGUUCAGUAAUUCACUCUCCAGCCAGUGCCAAAGCCAGGUCAGCCUGAGGAAGUGCUGCUGACAGCACAGCUGGAAAAGAAGGCAUCAGAUUCAUGGACAGAGGCUGGAGCGUAUCUUUGGAAAGCCAGUGCAGUAAAAUUUUUAAGAAAUUUUGGAACACUGCAAGAUAAAACAACUCUGGGCUGACCCUUUUUGACCUACUUCCUCUAAAGUUCUGCAUGUAUCAGUUCCUGUAGUCUUAUCUGGAUUUUAUCAGAACUAAUGUCAAAACAUGGCACAAGCUCUCUGGCAUGUAAACCGAGGCUCUUCCAGCUGAGCUCCUCAGAAACCUCAGGCGACCGUCAUCCUGCUGCUUCCUGAAAGGACCAGAGGAGCACAGAGACCUGAGCCUUCAGAAGUGCCCACGCGCAGGUGUCUUAACACACAGCUGAAACAGUAUCAAUCCACUAAUCAGAACCAAAGUGUUUCUCUUUGAUCCCUUCCUGCAAACCACAGUAAUCAGCUGAAUGGCCUCAUCUCACCGACAGGAGUUUCUCAUGUCAUGCUGAAAACUGGAACUGAGUCUUACCACUUAUUGGGACAACAAGUGGUUAAAGUCAUGGAUUUAAAGCACUUCUGUCUACUAAACCCAAAGCAGUCAUUUAUCAGAGCACAUUAACUUGGCACAUUAACUCCCCUCUCCCUGUGAAGAGUCCUCGAACUCCACACGAGGUCUGAGCACGAAUAACCGCAGGAGGCGCAAGCAGUGCUCAUUUACACAACUGCCUCUCUAAGGACGGAGCCUUUCGUGUACCUCUCCUUGAAGCCACUUUGACCGGACAGGAGUAGGUACAGCGUUCACUGGGACACAGCAAUUCUGGAACAGCUUUCCAGUGAAGGAGAUGAAUCCCACCUUCUUUUCCUUAUCCCCAAACGUUACAUAUACACUGCUUGAAUCUUGUCUACAGCUCUUCUGUUCAUGUGAUCAGUACCCUGACCUGGUUGCCAUUCCAGUGAGAGGGGCUUGCCUGCAUCCUCUCGUUGGCAGCUCCCAGCUAACAAGGGGAUUUCCAACGGGUCUCCUUGGCAGUGAGCACGACACCCACACGUUCUAUUUAUGUCUACGUAUACAUCUGAGUGUGUUUCCUGAGCCAGAGAAGACAUUACGCUGCCCAAUGUUGUUACCCAAAGGGUGAGAACAGAGGAUGUGUUGGUUGCAAGAAGAUGAGUAAAACCUACCUGUUUUAGUCCUUCAUGUAUGUAUGUCUCACCUGCUGGUGUAACCUCCUCCAGAUCCUUCAGACCUUUCUUGAUUUUCUCUCUGCGAAAGAAAAAGAGGUCACAGCUGCACUAGACAGACCCAGCCAGAUGUCAACUAGCUCCCCCAUUCUCCAAGCUGGUCAAGUGCAAGUGGGUCCUGGUCUGGAUGUCAGAAUGCCAGUGUGGAUGCAGGACUUGGGGCCCCAGAACCAGCAGGAGAGCAGGAGUUUCACCCAGGCAGAGGCAGCAGGGCUCGUCCUGGCCACUGGCACCAGUCAGUGCUGCCAAAGCCGGCUCGCAGAAACCUGGACUGCUGCUGGCCAGGACAGCUGGCCAAAAGAGAACAAAGGCAACAUCGUGCCAGCUGCAUGGUAUUCCUGAAGGUAUCCACUAUCCCAAACCACGUGCUUUCCAACAGUGAGCCCUAAAGACAUGAAAAAAUCCUGAUAGCCAUUCUAUGGAGGCUGCUUUACAAAAGCAAAUGGAAGAAUCAUUCUGGUGCUGUGCCAAGUGAGAUGCAGAGUCACACAGAGAUGAAAACAUUACUGCUAGUUUUUCUGCAAAGCAGUGGCAGAGAUGCUCGGGGAACAAAGCAGCGGGAUUAUUACUCUCUCCCACGUGACUAGUCUCUGCUGAUGUGCCCACCCCACGCACGGAAGGAAACGCGCACCCUUUGGAAUUGCCCGGGCCGCUGUCACAGAAGCAGUGCCCACUGACUGCCCCAGCCCCAAGAAAGCAGCAUGCAGGCUCUUCCAGAGUGAGACUGGGCUUGUUUCUCUGACCAGAGAGCUGUGAGACUUGAAAACUUCUCCCCUAAAAGCAUCCAGGGAAAUGUCAUGGUUGCAGAGAAUCAUAUCUAACUAGCAGUGGAAAACACUUAGGAGUUGCCAGAUGCUCUGGAGGCCCAAGACAGGAAUUUUCCCAAGGUAAGCUGUAACAUCUCUCCUGCAUAAAUUUAUUCAUCACAAUUUUAAUAUAUUCACUAAUUUUGUAAUUUACUGUACAUGAGAAUCCCCAUUA